rnacentral:lncRNA from 1 species
AGAAAGUUUUCGAUUUUGCUAAAACUUUUAGCUUGGAGGGCACAUGUCAGAGCACCUUUGGAUCGUUUCAGCUGGAGACCCUUGACGGUCCCUAACCCAGAACCGGUCCAGCAUAUAGUAGAGGCUCAAAUGAUGUGCACAUCUGUAGAUGAGUAACAUCGAGGCUGUGAGUGGCCCUUCUGUCCCCAGCAUGUCUCCCUUGGCUCUGAGCAAUGCUUUUGAGGAGGAUGGCACUUUUGUGGGCUUUAAAAAAAAAUUAUGCAGAUCUAUUCUAAUUUUUAAAAAUCUCUUCCUUUCAUUACAUUUUAGCUAAUAGGCUGUCCUCCAUCACCUCUGGAGCUGCCUGGCAGCCCUGUCAUCCCUUGUCUCAGGUCACACACUCUGUCCUCCAUGUCCUCCACGGUGGUCAUCUGGAACCAAGCCAGGGGAGUCCCGUUCCUCUUAAAAUUCUGAACGGAAUCUUGAACAGUACCAGGACGAAAGGAAGCCCAGGGCUCAAUGAGCAAAGAGGAAAAAAUGAAAAGUGAGAAAUGGUGAGGACAUACAAAGCAAGGGAGAGUGAAGACCAAUGGAUAUGGGAAAAUUCAAAUUACAGCUACAAAACUGUGCUCUUGGCCUGGAAGAGUAGUCAGCACAGGCUGCAGGGUCCCUGAUGGAGGCAAGAAAAAGGAGACCUGGCUUAGAUCGCUGAAGCUGACCCAAAGUGGCCUCAAAGAGUCAUCUCCUGGGCGCUCCCGACCGGCAACCGACUGACGUAGCGAUCAGCUUGGGGGAGGUGGGGGCCAAGGGGCCCGCGCUGACCGUGAACUGAAUGAAUAUUCGGCGGGCAGGUUGGGGAUCCGAGACCACGGAAGACCCAGGACCUUCCUAUGCUACACCCAAAGCCAUUGAGAACGGGGCGAGACCCUGUGACCCCCGAAGGUAGGAGGCCUUGGAGCGAGAUCUGAGCCCCAGACCACGAGAGCCUGGCUGCGUAGAGUCUCAGGGACACCUCUUUGGAGGCGUGCGCGGCCCGCAUUUCAGCAGGUAGUGAAAUUCAACAGUGGCCGGAUUGUGAUGACGGAUGCAAGUCGGGACUGCCAGAUAGGGGAUCCUAUUCGCUCAUUAGUUCAUUCUUUUGAUCUUUCGUUCACUUGCUCAUUUCUUGAGCUUCUACCACGUGCUGGGUGCACUCGUCACGCGGAUUCUGAGAAACAAAAAUAAACAGCCCCGACAAAUUAAAACGAGGCUAAAAUUUGCAGACUGGGAAAUCUCUGGUCGAGGACAGUGGGGAUUGAGGGUGGCUAGGGAAUUCCGCAGAACAGGCACUUUUGCUCCGCAGAGAGAGGCGGCGGGGUGCAGACGCACUAAGACCAACUCGCCUAGCGUUCUUACCCGCUCUGCGGUGCUCUUCCGUGUUCCAAGAGAGGCUCGGGCAGAUCUUAGCGCUCCGCACCCCCGCAUAAGUGAGGGACUGGAGAAAGCACAGAAAGCUUUGGACUUCUGUCCUGGUUCUUGACGUUGACCACUAGGGAAGUGACCUUGAGUGAGUCAUUCAACCUCCCUACCAGUUGGUUUCCACCUACAACGAUGCCCAAAUGGUACGCAGACCAGAGUUUCGGCCGCCUGCAUCGAGUCCUGCUUGUGAACGCGUUCUCUUGCCUCUCUGUGAUGACCUUAGCAUCGGGGAUCCUAAUGGGUCCUCGACCAGAUGAUUCGCAGCUCCAGGUCCACUCCCGGGGUUACUACCUGGUACUUCUGGGUCGUGUUGCACAGCCUCCUACUGUGUUUAUAAUGCUACCUACCCUGCGAUGCUAUAAAUAACCACAAGGGCCACAAUAAUUAUACUUGUCGUUCAUUCAGUAAACACUUUUGGGGGUGCAUUUCCUGUGCCAAGCACUGAGCUAGGUGCUAGAGCUUCUCCAACCAUGCAGCAGAGUCCAGCCCUGCUCUCAAGAAGCCGAGGGUGC